rnacentral:rRNA from 1 species
CUACACCCACUAUCCGCCCGGGAACUACGAGCAUCAGCUUGAAACCCAAAGGACUUGGCGGUGCUUUAGAUCCACCUAGAGGAGCCUGUUCUAGAACCGAUAACCCCCGUUCAACCUCACCUUUUCUUGUUUUCCCCGCCUAUAUACCGCCGUCGUCAGCUUACCCUGUGAAGGACUCAUAGAAGCAAAAUUGGCACAGCCCAAAACGUCAGGUCGAGGUGAGCGUAUGGAAAGGGAAGAAAUGGGCUACAUUCCCUAUAAUUAGUGAAUACGGACGAUGUCCUGAAAGAGACAUCUGAAGGAGGAUUUAGCAGUAAGCAGGAAAUAGACGUUCCG